rnacentral:rRNA from 1 species
UACGUAGGUGGCAAGCGUUGUCCGGAUUUACUGGGCGUAAAGGGCGUGUAGGCGGCUUGUUAAGUGCGGGGUGAAAGCUCCCGGCUCAACUGGGAGAGGUUCUUGCAUACUGGCGAGCUCGAGGGAUGCAGAGGAAAGUGGAAUUCCCGGUGUAGUGGUGAAAUGCGUAGAUAUCGGGAGGAACACCAGUGGCGAAGGCGACUACCUGGCCUGUUCUUGACGCUGAGGCGCGAAAGCUAGGGGAGCAAACGGG